rnacentral:miRNA from 1 species
GCGCCCAGAGUCAUGGCAGAGU